rnacentral:sRNA from 1 species
AUGUCUCUAGAAGGACUAUUGCAAGGACUCGUCUUAGAGACGUUACGUCAAGACAGACACAUCCGCAUCAUUCAUCUCUGGUAUCGAUUUGUCAAUGCGUCACAAAUUGCACGACAAACCCACGGAAGACAUAACAGAAUAUCUGCUCAAACAGUUCGUAACCGAUUGCGUCAAGUUGGUCCAAGAGCACGUCGUCAUUUGAAGUGGCCUAUCCUUACGCAGCGUCACAGGAUGGAGCGACUUCAAUGGACACGGGUACGGAUUCGAUGGAAUUGGCAAACAUGGAGACAUGUUCUUUUUACCGAUGAAUCUAAAUUCAACUUGAAAUUUAGCAACGGCAGAGCCAGGGUCUACCGGAGACGCAAUGAACGAUUUUCUGAUGCGUGCGUGCAGGAAACAGAUCGGUUUGGUGGUGGCGGAAUCGUGGUAUAG